UGGACCUACGGGGCGCAGCAGUGAGGAAUAUUGGUCAAUGGGCGGAAGCCUGAACCAGCCAAGUCGCGUGAGGGAAGAAGGCCCUGCGGGUCGCAGACCUCUUUGGACGGGGAGCAAGGCCGCCGACGUGUCGGCGGAAGGAGAGUACCCGUAGAACAAGCAUCGGCUAACUCCGUGCCAGCAGCCGCGGUAAUACGGAGGAUGCGAGCGUUAUCCGGAUUUAUUGGGUGUAAAGGGUACGUAGGCGGCAUGGCAAGUCAGAAGUGAAAGCCCGGGGCUCAACCCCGCGGACUGCUUUUAGAACU
rnacentral:rRNA from 1 species